GACGUAGGGCGCGAGCGUUGUCCGGAUUUAUUGGGCGUAAAGAGCUCGUAGGCGGCUUGUCGCGUCGAAUGUGAAAACUCGGGGCUUGACCCCGAGCCUGCAGUGGAUACGGGCAGACUAGAGGUAGGUAGGGGAGAAUGGAAUUCCCGGUGUAGCGGUGGAAUGCGCAGAUAUCGGGAGGAACACCGGUGGCGAAGGCAGGUCUCUGGGCAUUAACUGACGCUGAGGAGCGAAAGCAUGGGGAGCGAACAGG
rnacentral:rRNA from 1 species